GCGGAGCUGCGGAGGCAGCCAUGGUCGGGGCGCUGUGCGGCUGCUGGUUCCGCCUGGGCGGGGCCCGCGCGCUCAUCCCGUUCGGCCCGCUCACCACGCGCAGCGCCAUGACCAGCAAGGGUCCCGAGGAGGAGCACCCAUCGGUGACGCUCUUCCGCCAGUACCUGCGCAUCCGCACCGUCCAGCCCAAGCCUGACUAUGGUGAGAAGACGGUGGCUCCAGAGCCUGUGACGGGGCCUAAGGGACGGGGACUGUGCUCUAAACCAGCCUCCAACCCCUGUCACCCAGCUGAGCCCCACUCUGCUGUCCCAAAUGGCUCCCCAACCCCUCCAGCCAUUCCCCAAGUAAAUAGACUGAGGCAGCCCCUCCAGGUUAGGGAGGAACCCUUUCCCCAGAGACUCUGCUGCUGACCAAGGUUACUCCUGGCAGCUGGUUAAAGAAAAACUUCACCUCACUCUCCAGGGUAGGAGUGGUGGGGGAAGCCUGAGGCAGCCACAGGGAAAGGAGAGGCCCUCCAGAAGCCACUGGGGCUGGACAAAGGCCACAGCCUUUAGGGAGUCAAGCUUGGUGGCUAGGGCCUGGGAGGUGGCUCCUGCCUGUUAUCCCAGCACUUCAGGAGGUUGAGGCUGGCAGAUUGCUUGGGCCCAGGAGUUCAAGACUAGCUUGAGCAACAUGGCAAGACUCUGUCUCUACAGAAAAAAUACAAAAAUUAGUCAGGAAUGGUGGCACACCUGUAGUC
rnacentral:sRNA from 1 species